AUCAAUCAUGUCAUAAUGACUUAUCCUCUCAAAAACACACGGGAAGGAAUCGGAGUCGAGAUUCGAAAGUCGCUGAUAUUAGGAUUUUCAUCUCCAAUAUUCUGAUGCACUAUAAUUCUGGUUCCAUAUAAUAUGCGAUCCUUAUGCUAAUUCUUGGGUUGGUGGAAGGAAAUCGAGCUUCAAUUUCAGAUUCCUCUUCAUUUGAUGGAUUUCGUCACCAAAGAUUUCUAUAUUCAAUGGAUGAAAACGGAGAUCCAAGAUGAAGGUGUCGUUUCUAUACAUGGUGGAUUCUUUGAAAACAUGUAUUGCUUGUUUAAUAUUUUAGUUGUUCUUUUGCACACAAUCAACAUUUUUGAUGAACCAACACAACUUUCACAAGAAGAAACUUCUUUACCUUAGGGACACAUCGUUCGAAAGAAAAAGUUAAAGGAACCUUAAUGAGUUUUCCUCUCAAAAUUGAAAUGUUUGCCGCACUUGUAUAGCAAGUUGUGAAUGGAAGAAAAGCGCAAUAUUGCAAUUGGAAAAACAAGUUUUUGUAGAAGGCAAGAAGCAGAAGAAGGCUGGUGAAUGCCUGUUUACACAAGAAUACAAAUACUCUGGAGAGUUGUGUAAGACCCAGGACAAUGAGAAUGAUCAGAUGAGAAAGUGAAGAAUGAGGCAGAAGUAGAGGCCCUUGAAUGGCUUGAUGAGUAUCAAGCUUGUAUAAGCAAAAGACUACGUACUUUUAGAAGAAAAAGGCAUUCACGGAGGAAAGCUUUAAUAAUCAUUAAUCCCCUAGAGGUAGUCAUGGUCUCAAUGGGACUGGCACAUGUGUACAUAUAACCAAUAUGAUCCAAGGACCAACAAAGUGGAGAUGCUCUUAGAAGUUCUAGGAUAUUACGUAAUUUGUUUUGUAGGAAGGUAGUAUGAUUUUAAAUGGUGACUGAUCAAAGUCACCUAAAAAUGGUCAUUUGAUUAUCUCCUGGUGAGAUCUAUUGGG